AGUGAACGCUGGCGGCAGGCCUAAUACAUGCAAGUCGAACGGCAGCACAGUGGAGCUUGCUCCAUGGGUGGCGAGUGGCGGACGGGUGAGGAAUACAUGGGAAUCUGCCCAGUCGUGGGGGAUAACGUAUGGAAACGUACGCUAAUACCGCAUGCGCCCUUCGGGGGAAAGUCGGGGACCGCAAGGCCUGACGCGAUUGGAUGAGCCCAUGUUCGAUUAGCUAGUUGGCGGGGUAACGGGCCCACCAAGGCGACGAUCGAUAGCUGGUCUGAGAGGAUGAUCAGCCACACUGGAACUGAGACACGGUCCAGACUCCUACGGGAGGCAGCAGUUAGGGAAUAUUGGACAAU
rnacentral:rRNA from 1 species